CGGGAAAAGCUCAAAUUUAAAAUCUGGCAGUCUUUGGCUGUCCGAGUUGUAAUUUAGAGAAGUGUUACCCGUGCUGGACUAUGUAAAAGUCUUCUGGAAUGAAGCAUCAUGGAGGGUGAGAAUCCCGUCUU
rnacentral:rRNA from 1 species